GAUGAACGCUAGCGGCAGGCUUAACACAUGCAAGUCGAGGGGUAGAAGGAGCUUGCUCCUUUGAGACCGGCGCACGGGUGCGUAACGCGUAUGCAAUCUACCUUUUGCAGAGGGAUAGCCCAGAGAAAUUUGGAUUAAUACCUCAUAGUAUGUGAGGAUGGCAUCAUUUUCACAUUAAAGUCACAACGGCAAAAGAUGAGCAUGCGUCCCAUUAGCUAGUUGGUAAGGUAACGGCUUACCAAGGCUACGAUGGGUAGGGGUCCUGAGAGGGAGAUCCCCCACACUGGUACUGAGACACGGACCAGACUCCUACGGGAGGCAGCAGUGAGGAAUAUUGGUCAAUGGGCGCAAGCCUGAACCAGCCAUGCCGCGUGCAGGAAGACGGUCCUAUGGAUUGUAAACUGCUUUUUAUACAGGAAGAAACCCUCCACGUGUGGAGCUUGACGGUACUGUAGGAAUAAGAUCGG
rnacentral:rRNA from 1 species